rnacentral:lncRNA from 1 species
GGAGAUACAUCCCGUACAGUAGGUGGCGGUGUGGCGCACUAAUCAACAACUAGCGCUUAAAUGAUGGAAAGUUAGCAUUUGGGCGGAGGUGCACACAGUCUAUAGGGCUCGGCAGCACGCGGAUCUCUGCCAUGUAUUUAGCAUGACUUAGUUUGGACGUCAGGAAGGAUUUUAAUAUUAUACCGAAGAGUUUUUAAAAAAAUGCACGAUUUGAGAAAAGCAGAGGCCUCCCGUUUUGCUACAUAGUGCUAUUCUUCAGUUUUGAGCAUGAUUUGAAACGAGGUUUCGUACAGCACGGUCGCCUAAAAAAAUCCCUACACGUGGAGGUGUCUGAUCAGUGAAGGUAAGUAUGUUAUUGUUAAUUAGUCUGUAACACGUUAUAUUUUAUUCGUGAUGUGUCGUUGAAGGCAAAUUGGGAGCUCUCGACUCCUCACAACCGCCAUAAUCUGAGCACGUGGUCGUACAGUCAGCUUGUUGUAGUGUAAAAGGUUUGCGUCAGACCAAACUCUAGUCAAAAUGAAGUUAUUGUAUAAAGUCGCCUUUUAACUUAAGUGUGUUUGAUAACUGAACGCAAUGUAAUACUUUAUUUGUGUACAGGAAGCAGCUCUUUAAUUCGGCUGUAAUUCCGCGCAAAAUAAUCUCUUUACGAAUGUUAUGUUGUUUGUAUUAUUAAAGCUCAUCUACAGAAAUUCACUCCUGUCCAACUAACGAGUAAAUCUUCAUCCAACAGGUCAACUGAAGGAAACUGACCCCCAGUGAUCGUGGGUGUGGACUUGACAUGCAUGUGGGUAUUUGAAACAUUUUAUGAGUGUUAAUGAAUUAAAAUGGCCAUCCCAAUGAUUAUACCAAUCACUACCCAUCUGACCCAUUCAUAAGUCUGGGGGAGAUUAUAAAUAAGAAUCUAUAUGAGGGUCUGGCAUUCAUUCUCUAUUUGAAUUGAAGACUGCUGUUUAAUUUUAACCUCUGUUUGUAAUUAAGAUUUUCCUCCUUUUCUUUCAGGGUUGACUCGCUGAGCUGAAAGAAGAGUUUCAGUGUCUGCAGGUGCAUUUACAAAGAUUAGAGCAUUGUGGGAAAGUUCUUUGUUUUCUAUUUCUUAAUCAAGAAAUUGAUAUAUUUAAUUUUAAUGUCGGGGAAAUUACUGUUUAUAUAGUAUCAGUGUUGUGUAUCUUUUCUGAUAGUUAAGUACACACAGCCGCAAUCAUGGGAAAGACUGCUGACUUGACAGUUGUCCAGAAGGCCAUUAUCCACAUCCUCCAUGGUGAGGGAAAACCACAGAAGGUCAUUGCUGAAAAGGCUGGCUGUUCACAGAGUGCUGUAUCUAAGUGUAUUAAUGGAAAGCUGACUGGGAACAGAGAAAACUGUGGGAGGAAAAGGUGCACAAGCAAAAGAGAUGACCGCAGGCUUGAGAGUAUCGUCAGGAAAAGUCAAUUUAAGAACUUAAGGGAGCUUCACCAGGAAUGGAUGGCGGCUGGUGCCAGUGCAUCAAGAGCCACUACACACAGGCGGCUUCAGGAAAAGGGCUACGAGUGUCACUUUAUUAAAACCGUGCCACCCCAGGAACAAAAAGAGCAGCAGAAGCGUCCUACAGUUGCAAAGAAGAAAAAGAAGUGAGCAGUUCAUGGCUGAAGGUUUUCUUUUCACAUAAAAGUUCAGUUUUGCAUUUCAUUUGGAAAUCAAAGUCCUGUUCAGUGGAGAUAAUUUGGGGUGCCAUGUUAUCUGCUGGUAUUGGUCAGUCCAAAGUCAAUACAGCUGUCUUCUAAAACAUUUUAGAGCAGUUCAUGCUUCCAUCUGUUGAUGAGAUAUGCGAAUAUCCUUUUCCAGCAGGUUUUAGCACCUGCCCACAGCACCAAAACAACCACCAAAUGGUUUGCAGACUGAUAUAUUUUGGUGUCAAAUUGCACAGCCAACUAGCCUGAGCUGACCCCUUAUACGGACUGUGAGGUGUUGUAAAGGGAAGUUGAGAAGUUAUGAGCCUAAAAAUGCUGAUUUCUUCCUCUGGCAGGAUUUGGUUCUUGCCCACAGUGCCAAAAUUACCACACACUGCUUUACUUAACUGUGAUGUCACUGUUACUGAUUGGCCAGCCCUCUCAAAAAUGCAGACAGGCUGAUGGCUUUAACCAAAACCUCAGCAGUGUUUCAGGUUGCCUCCAUGCAGUGCCCCACUGCUGUGGUAAUUCAUGGUUGAGAGCUCCAACCAUGUACUGAGUGUAAAAGUAAACACAUUUUAAAGAAGAUAGUCAGUCCUGUAUUACUAUGUAUCCUAAUUACCUGAUACUGUAUUUGCAUGAACUGUCAAAAGAGCUGAAAAUAUCUCGGUUCACAUAUUAUGAAUGUAGCAAAUAUGAAGUUGCACCAGUUCAGUAAGCACUUUGUCAUUCUGACCAAAUAAAUACUGUAUGAAGCAAAGAUGGUUUGUCUGUGGUAUUUGCAUGGUGUGUGUUCGCAUAUGUGCAUGUCUGUAUGUGUAAGAUUUCUGUGGGAUGUAUCAAGAAGCUGUCCUAGAAACAGUUCACUACUUGGAUUGACUCCUACCCCUUGGAAGUUGUAUGAAACAUGAAAAAUAACGAAAUGUAAAAAGUCACUUGUCUUGCUAUUGAUCUUGUUUUUUUAGGUAUUAAAUAAGCAACAAUAACUAUUUAA